rnacentral:rRNA from 1 species
UACGUAGGGUGCAAGCGUUGUCCGGAAUUAUUGGGCGUAAAGAGCUCGUAGGCGGUCUGUCACGUCGGCUGUGAAAACCCGAGGCUCAACCUCGGGCCUGCAGUCGAUACGGGCAAACUAGAGUGUUGCAGGGGAGACUGGAAUUCCUGGUGUAGCGGUGAAAUGCGCAGAUAUCAGGAGGAACACCCGUGGCGAAGGCGGCUCUCUGGGACGGUACUGACGCUGAGACGCGAAAGCGUGGGGAGCGAACAGG